GUGCAGCACAUACACUGAAAUUUGAAUGAUACAGAGCAGAGGAGCAUGGCCCCUGCACCAGGAUGACACACAAAUUCGUGACGCAUUCCAUAUUUUU
rnacentral:snRNA from 1 species